rnacentral:rRNA from 1 species
CCUACGGGAGGCAGCAGUGAGGAAUAUUGGUCAAUGGACGAGAGUCUGAACCAGCCAAGUAGCGUGAAGGAUGACUGCCCUAUGGGUUGUAAACUUCUUUUAUAUGGGAAUAAAAUGUUCCACGUGUGGGAUUUUGUAUGUACCAUAUGAAUAAGGAUCGGCUAACUCCGUGCCAGCAGCCGCGGUAAUACGGAGGAUCCGAGCGUUAUCCGGAUUUAUUGGGUUUAAAGGGAGCGUAGGUGGAUUGUUAAGUCAGUUGUGAAAGUUUGCGGCUCAACCGUAAAAUUGCAGUUGAAACUGGCAGUCUUGAGUACAGUAGCGGUGGUCGGAAUUCGUGGUGUAGCGGUGAAAUGCUUAGAUAUCACGAAGAACUCCGAUUGCGAAGGCAGUUCACUGGACUGCAACUGACACUGAGGCUCGAAAGUGUGGGUAUCAAACAGGAUUAGAUACCCCAGUAGUC